rnacentral:rRNA from 1 species
AACGAACGCUGGCGGCAUGCCUAACACAUGCAAGUCGCACGAGACCUUCGGGUCUAGUGGCGCACGGGUGCGUAACGCGUGGGAACCUGCCCUUAGGUUCGGAAUAACUCCCCGAAAGGGGUGCUAAUACCGGAUAAUGUCUUCGGACCAAAGAUUUAUCGCCUUUGGAUGGGCCCGCGUUGGAUUAGCUAGUUGGUAGGGUAAAAGCCUACCAAGGCGACGAUCCAUAGCUGGUCUGAGAGGAUGAUCAGCCACACUGGGACUGAGACACGGCCCAGACUCCUACGGGAGGCAGCAGUGGGGAAUAUUGGACAAUGGGCGAAAGCCUGAUCCAGCAAUGCCGCGUGAGUGAUGAAGGCCUUAGGGUUGUAAAGCUCUUUUACCCGGGAUGAUAAUGACAGUACCGGGAGAAUAAGCUCCGGCUAACUCCGUG